rnacentral:rRNA from 1 species
GACGAACGCUGGCGGCGUGCCUAACACAUGCAAGUCGAGCGAGUGAAUCUCCUUCGGGAGUGAAGCUAGCGGCGGACGGGUGAGUAACACGUGGGCAACCUGCCUCAUAGAGGGGAAUAGCCUUUCGAAAGGAAGAUUAAUACCGCAUAAGAUUGUAGCUUCGCAUGAAGUAGCAAUUAAAGGAGCAAUCCGCUAUGAGAUGGGCCCGCGGCGCAUUAGCUAGUUGGUGAGGUAACGGCUCACCAAGGCGACGAUGCGUAGCCGACCUGAGAGGGUGAUCGGCCACAUUGGGACUGAGACACGGCCCAGACUCCUACGGGAGGCAGCAGUGGGGAAUAUUGCACAAUGGGGGAAACCCUGAUGCAGCAACGCCGCGUGAGUGAUGACGGCC